rnacentral:rRNA from 1 species
UGGGGAAUAUUGCACAAUGGAGGAAACUCUGAUGCAGCGAUGCCGCGUGAGGGAAGAAGGUUUUAGGAUUGUAAACCUCUGUCUUCAGGGACGAAAAAAGACGGUACCUGAGGAGGAAGCUCCGGCUAACUACGUGCCAGCAGCCGCGGUAAUACGUAGGGAGCGAGCGUUGUCCGGAUUUAUUGGGUUUAAAGGGUGCGUAGGUGGUGAUUUAAGUCAGCGGUGAAAGUUUGUGGCUCAACCAUAAAAUUGCCGUUGAAACUGGGUUACUUGAGUGUGUUUGAGGUAGGCGGAAUGCGUGGUGUAGCGGUGAAAUGCAUAGAUAUCACGAAGAACUCCGAUUGCGAAGGCAGCCUGCUAAGCUGCAACUGACAUUGAGGCUCGAAAGUGUGGGUAUCAAACAGGAUUAGAUACCCUGGUAGUCCACACGGUAAACGAUGAAUACUCGCUGUUUGCGAUAUACUGCAAGCGGCCAAGCGAAAGCGUUAAGUAUUCCACCUGGGGAGUACGCCGGCAACGGUGAAACUCAAAGGAAUUGACGGGGGCCCGCACAAGCGGAGGAACAUGUGGUUUAAUUCGAUGAUACGCGAGGAACCUUACCCGGGCUUAAAUUGCAGAUGAAUUACGGUGAAAGCCGUAAGCCGCAAGGCAUCUGUGAAGGUGCUGCAUGGUUGUCGUCAGCUCGUGCCGUGAGGUGUCGGCUUAAGUGCCAUAACGAGCGCAACCCUUAUCGAUAGUUACUAGCAGGUCAUACUGAGGACUCUAUUGAGACUGCCGUCGUAAGAUGUGAGGAAGGUGGGGAUGACGUCAAAUCAGCACGGCCCUUACGUCCGGGGCUACACACGUGCUACAAUGGCGUAAACAAAGGGAAGCGAAAGAGUGAUCUGGAGCAAACCCCAAAAAUAACGUCUCAGUUCGGAUUGUAGUCUGCAACUCGACUACAUGAAGCUGGAAUCGCUAGUAAUCGCGAAUCAGAAUGUCGCGGUGAAUACGUUCCC